rnacentral:rRNA from 1 species
GCACCUGCGGUAAUUCCAGCUCCAAUAGCGUAUAUUAAAGUUGUUGCAGUUAAAAAGCUCGUAGUUGGAUUUCUGCGAGGGUGCCAAUGUCCGCCGACGCGCGUGCGCAGCGGCGCCCUCGCAUCCUUCUGUUACCACCUCUCGGCAUUCACUUACCGGUGGUCGGCUCAGAGAAUUUACCUUGAGAAAAUUAGAGUGUUUCAGGCAGGCUAGGCCGGAAUACAUUAGCAUGGAAUAAUGGAAUAGGACUACGGUCUCGUUGUUGGUUUGAGGGACUGCAGUAAUGAUUAAUAGGGAUAGUUGGGGGCAUUAGUAUUUAAUUGUCAGAGGUGAAAUUCUCAGAUUUGUUAAAGACUAACUUAUGCGAAAGCAUUUGCCAAGGAUGUUUUCAUUGAUCAAGAACGAAAGU